CAUGUUUAUGUCAAGAUUAUGAAAUACUGUUAAAUAAAGUAUGUUAUUCAUGAAAUCUAUCUUGUGAAAGAACAGAGGAACUCGCUUGGUAGUCCAUGCACGCAUGCAAGGGUCGUAUGUAGAGCAGUAUAUCACAUCCAAUUUCAGCCGGAACUUGAAAGUGAGACCAAGACCAUGAUGAUAAUUAAAGGAUAGGAAAAGGUAAGGUACCCUUGUACGGAUGACGACGUUGCUGUGAAGGUCAUUGGAAUCGAAGCUAGAGUAAUUGUAUUCUUAUUU